rnacentral:lncRNA from 1 species
UAAAUAAUAUUUCAGAGUCACGUACAACAAGCAUGCUAAUGGAGAAGAACAGUUAGAAAAAAAAUAUGUCACAACUAAUAUGAAUACCCAAUAAGAGUCGCAGAAAUGCAAAAAAAAAACAAAUAGGAGGUUCAUUGUCGCCAAGCACUUAAAGUAUGUAAAUCCAAGAAAAAAUCAUAACCACAUAGUGUAAAAGCAACUAAUGCAUCGUUGAAGAAUACUAACCGUUUUACAGCACAAUAACAAAAGAAGAUUGAACUUUCAAGAGUAGAUAAGAAGUCGUACGAGCAAACAAGAAUUAGCGAUCUCAUAGUAGAAGCAGCAAGCAAAAUUUAGCACUAAGUGUAGUGUAGAAUAUUGUAGAAGUCAGAGUAGGAGUGUAUGAUAAGAGGUCUGACAAUUGAAAGAGAAGGAUGUUUAUAUAGCAAAAGAGUAGAGAAAAUAAAAGGAAAGAGAAUAUUUGCAAAUUCAAUCAAAUCAACUAAAACAAAUAAACUGCACAUAUUUUACCUGAAUAAACAAGUCAAAAUAUUAUUCGAUCUUCAAGAGGCCGUAAAAAUAGGGAUACCAAUGGAUACUUCCCAUGUAAAGAAACAUAAUCACAUCAAAUUAGCACAGAAUAGAUCCAAUUAUAAUUGGGGGUAAACAUCUAUUUGGAUCAAAAAUCCACAUGCUUAAAAAGCAAAAAACAUAAUACACCCAAAGAACUACUAUACUACUGUAAUUACGCUAGUAAUCCAAUCAACUGGCUCAAAUUUUUGGAGUCAACAUUAUGACAGUACACAAUAAAAUUGCAUUCCUAAAAUAAAAUCUAGGAUUGACGAAAAAUUCAAAAUUAGUCAUUUUACAUAAAACAAAUGUGAAACCAGAAAAACAGACCAACAAUAUAACCACAAAUUUUAAGUUUAAAGAAAAGGGGAGCAGAAUAGAAUUAUAAUUGCAUGUAAAAAAUUAACUAUGAAAUUCAACCUAGGAUGGGUUCCUAAGAACCCAUCAUUUUUUCGGUGAGAUGUGGUGGCAGUGUCAUGGGAUGCAUGGAGACACAGCAACGGCGGCUGCAAUAAGAAGGCGGGCCGGUUCGUCGGUAGCUGCUGGUUUGCAUGGCUGGUUUAAGGCGGACACGUCAGUGGCUGGAGCAGAGCUCUUUGGUGGCUUUUGAUGCAGGCAACGGCGAUAGUGAGGUCCGACUAUCGUUAACAGUGCUUCGCCGGUCAUCACAUCUGGUGAAGCAGCAAUGAUGAGAGGCAGCAUUGAUCGAAGGUACGGUAGGAUGGCUGGCUCGCUGGUGAGCUACCAUUAUUUUUCCCAGCUGUGGAGAUGCAUCGGAUCUGGGCGACUAUGGCACUGGGCCUUCAUCGGUGUCGGCUGGUGUUGUUGCCCAUUUAACGGUGCUUAGUCGUCGGAGAGAAAAAUUGAGCAGAGGGGGUUUGGGUUGUGGGCGAACGCCGGUGGCGGAUGGACGGUGGCAGUUGGUGAGUUCUAGAAAGAAGGAGGAGAGAUAGAGAGAGAAAGUGGGGAUGGUGUGCGGUUGAUUUGGUGGAAUGAGUCUAGGGUUAGGGUUUUGAUUUUUUAAAAGGAAAGAAGGAGAUCGUUUGAUCUCAGUCGUUGGAUCAGUUUUGAUCGAAGGCUGAUAUUUAAUGGUUGAGGAAUUGGUCAAAAUUUAAAAAUAAUUUAAAAUUAAGUCCUAAAUUGACUAUAAUUGUAAUAAAUGGCUGAAAUUGGAAUGUCUUGGGUAAAAAAUGGACUAAAAGAUAAAUAAAUCAGGAAAAUUAAUUUAACUUUAGGCUGUUAUUUAAAUAAUAGUAGGGAUAAUAAUAGUAAAUAAUAUAUAAUAAUAAUAAUAAAUAAUAAAUAAUACUAAUAUUAAUAAUAAUAAAUGUUAUAAAAAAUGAUGUAUUUGGAAAUUGAGAGUAUGCCUAUUUAUGAAAAUAAUUAUCUAAAAUUAUGUCGAGAAAUAUUAUAUUUAAAUUAAUGAAUGAUACUGUAAGGUGGUAAAAUAAUUUGUAUAUUUUAAAAUCGUGAAUGGACACAUCAAAAUCUGUUUGACACAAGAAAACUGUGUAAAAGUAUCAACAUUUAAAAUUGGUAAAUUUUGUUAAAAUAACAUCCUAAAAUAAGUAUCAGGAGGUACAAAAUUAGGUGUUAAUAGCUGCCCCUUCGUUUCUUGGGAAUGAUAAAAGAAUUGUCAAGCAACAAAAGUUGAUGUGGUAGCCAAUUUUAUCCGACCGAGGAAGAUUCUUUGGAGUUAAAACAAUAGGAGGUGAUUUUAAAAAUAAUAUGGCUGAGACUUCGAUUUCAAGUCGCCUACAUAUCUCUGGUUUUAUGAGAAUCAGGCCGUUUGUAGUUCUAGAUUUAGGAAUGAACAAUAUUUCUAAAGAAUGUCAAUGAUAAAGGAUGGGCAUUCAAUAAAGGUGUUGUAGGUCGGUCAAUGAGACGGAAUUGAAUGGGAUUUGGAAUAGUGGCGUAUGGAGAAGUUUGAAAAUAUUGAGGUAGGUGAGGUGAUGGAUAAAUAGAUGGAGUAAUAUUUUAGAAACAAAAACUAAAAUUGUCUUUGUUUGUUAUUCCUUCUUUGUUACCUGCAUAUUUACACCGUACUAAAUAAAAAAGGUUAGACAUGUAAGAAAUAAACAUUUGAUAAAUAUAAAGUAAAGGUGGAGACAAGAAAGAUAUCUGUUGUAUUGUGGGAUCAGCGAUUUGGCUUCUCAAUGUACUGUGGAAUCAUGGGAUCAGUUGUUUGUCUUCUCAUUGUGGAGUAAUCUGUACCUAUUAGUCCUAUCACUCUUAGCUCAAUUGGAUAAAAUGGUUAGCAUGGAUAUAUAUGUAUGUAUAGAAGAUUUGAUCAAUAUAGUGAAAACAACCAAAACAAUAAUGAUAAGAAGAGAUAAGAAAGUGUAUCUGUCAUGAGAGAGUAAUGCUUUGUUCAUAUAAAAAUUUAAAGAGGUCGUGCUUAAUCCACACUAUAUCUAGUAAACCAAUAGCAUUUAAUAACACUGAGGCAGUUAUGCUUAGCAUGUUCAGCAGUAGAAAAUAAUAUUCAUUUUUUAGUAACCCAAUUGACUUUCAGAGGACAAUGCUUAGCCUCAGGCAGUUUCUCAAAUUUACAAAACAAUGCUUAGCUUCGAAUAAUUUCUCGAGAGAGGGUAAUGCUUAACCCAACUAAAUUUCAAGGACUAUGCUUAGCCUCAUUCAGUUUCUCAAAAAACAGUAGUGCUUAACCCACUUAACUUUCCAAGGACAAUGCUUAGACUUAGAGAGUUUUUGAUAGAGUAGUGCUUAACUCCAUCAAAUUUCUAAAACAAUGCUUAGUUCGGAUGAUUUCAUGAGAGAGAAGUGGUGCUUAACCCGACUAACUUUCAAGACAAUGUUUAGCCUUAGUCAGUUUCUCGAAAAAGGGCAGUGCUUAAACCACUUAAAUUUCUAAGGACAGUGCUUAGCCUUAGAGAGUUUUUGAUAGAGUAGUGCUUAACUCUAUCAAGUUUCCUAAAAAAUGAUUAGUUUGGAUGAUUUCUCGAGAGAGGGUAGUGCUUAACCCAACUAACUUUCAAGGACAAUGCUUAGCCUCAGUCAGUUUCUCGAAAAAGGGUAGUGCUUAACCCACUUAACUUUCCAAGGAAAAUGCUUAGCCUUAGAGAUUUUUUGACAGAGUCGUUCUUAACUCCAUCAAAUUUCUGAAACAAUGCUUAGCUUUGGAUGAUUUCUCGAGAGAGAGCAGUGCUUAACCCAACUAACUUUCAAGGACAAUGCUUAGCCUCAGUCAGUUUCUUGAAAGAGGGUAGUGCUUAACCCACUUAACUUUCGACGGACAAUGCUUAGCCUUAGAGAGUUUAUGAUAGAGUCGUGCUGAACUCCAUCGAAUUUUCAAAACAAUGCUUAGCUUUGGACAAUUUCUCGAGAGAAGGUAAUGCUUAACCCAACUAACUUUCAAGGACAAUGCUUAGCCUCAGUCAGUUUCUCGAAAGAGGGUAGUGCUAAACCCACUUAACCUUCCAAGGACAAUGCUUAGCCUUAGGGAGUUCUUGAUAGAAUCAUUCUUAACUACAUCGAAUUUCCAAAAUAAUGUUUAGUUCAAAUAAACUUAUUGAGAGAGGGUAGUACUUAACCCAAUUAACUUUUCAAGAACAAUGCUUAGCCUCAAGAAGUUUAUCUCGAGAGGGUAGUGAUUAACCCACUCAGAACAUAGGAUGAUAAUAAUUAACCUUAUAUUUUGUGAUGGUGUAUGAAAUGCUUGAGAUUUUUACCCGUCACUCUAUACCUACACUCAAAGAAAUAUUGUUAGUUUUAAAAAAGGAAAAAGAUUGAUUCGUGUCUCUGUCAAUUCCUUUGCCCAGGUCCUGAAUCCAUUGUCUUUAUAUCGCUUUCUUGAGAUGCAAUCCUUGAUGAAAAUUUGAGGAUCCUCAAAAAUUUCUGCCCCGGUUUCAUGGCCUCAAUCUUUCUAGCCUUGAAUUUGUUAAAAUGUUUCUUGAUAGAAUUUUUGAGACCCUCUCAAAAAUUCUUCCCCAGUUACAUGUCUCGUCCGUCUUAAACUUGUAGAAUCAUAGAAUUUUUGAAAUCCUUUCAAAAAUUUUGCCCCAGUUACUUGCUUCAGGAAAAUAUGAAAGUUUCAUUGUGAUGAGACCGAACUCAAUAGGAGCGCCUGCGUAUCCCUCUUAAAUGGGAAUCAAGUCAAAUGUAGUUCAAAGUACAUAGGAGAAAUUCGUAUUGUUCCAAGCAUGUGUAAAGAUUAUAGUAACCCAAGUACUUGAGAUACUGAAAUGAGAAGACGACGUGAUAUCCCUUCCUUAAUGUUAGAGACGCCAGUUCUUAAUCAACAUCAAGAUAUGGCCCCAUCACAUUUAUCGCUUUGGUAUCAAUCAGUGCUUGAAUUUUGUCCUUUAAAACACGCCAUUCUUCAGUGGUGUAGCUUGUCAUCCUUGAAUGAUAAGCACAAACUUUGAAAUAAUCAAUCCAUUUAGCAUAUGUAUUCAUUACAAUUGCAGAAAUUGAAGUAAUGUAGCCAUCAACCCUUAAUCUCUCAUAAAGUUGGUCUAUAGGCUCAGCCAAAGGAGUGUACUGUCUUGAUAAUUUUUUUAAAGCUUGGCUUAAGGUAUGAUAAAUUGAUUGGGUCGUAGAUUUGUUGGUGCAUAAGCUAAUGGUUGUUAGAAAGUAGUUGAAAGAAUUUGUGAGCACGCAGGUAGUGCGAGAUAGUUGGUAGGACUAUAAGAUAGUAUGGGGUAAUUCUAUGUCGUUGCGGGGAAUGAAGGUGCUUGAUAUAUGGGUGUUUGGUAUUGAAGCGGAGGAGGUGGUGUUUGGUUUUUGGGAUUUUGAGUAGUCAAGAUAGUAUUUACUUCCUUCAUGUUAUUAUUCUCAUCAGCCUGUAAAGUCUUAAUCGCUUGCAGUGCCUCCAAAUUCGUUAUCAUGCCAUUUUAAUGACUUCUUCAAUUCUCUCGCCCAAUUUGAUGAUGUCAACAAGCUUUUGAUCCUCUAUAAGAAUCAUCCUUUCAUAAUAUUGUGGCUCUUGGGAACGUAUGAAAAAUUCUUUCAUUUGACCUUCCUCUAAAGGAGGAUGCACCUUACAAGCUUCACGUAUCCACCUCAAUCCAUAUACUCAACACGAUUUUGUAGGUUUCUUCUUUAACUUCUGAAUGUAGAACGAAUCAGGCACAUUCUAAAUACUAAACCCAAAUCUUUCUAUAAAAGCCGAGGCUAUGUCGAUCCAUUUCGACCAUUUUGUUGCAUCUUGUGGACAUACCAUGACAAAGCAUCUUCAGUGAGACUUUUAUGAAUAAUUUCCUAAGAAUCUACUCGUUUUUUCCAACUCUAACUAGCUUGUAGUAGUAUAGUUUCAAAUGGACUUUCAAAUCUCCAGUCCCAUUGUACAUUUCAAAUUUAGAAGGUUUGUAACUCCUGGCAGUUCAACGUCAGGGUGCACGCAUGGGUCCUCAUAACUUAGCCCUUUCAACUCUUUAUUACCUUCAAGUUGUUCCAAUCUUUCAACCACGGAUUGCAUAAGGGCAGCAUUUUCUAAAGGUUUGGAUUUAUAUUGGUGGUAGGUAAAUAGGGUCGUUUUGUCAUAACUCAAAUGUAAAGUAUGGCUGCUUGGAUCAUGAAAAUGAGGCAUAUUUGUGGUAAAUGUUGGCGGCAUAUUAUGGACAUAUGAUGAUAUUUGCAAAUUUAGUAGGACUGGAUAUGUGUGGUAUUGUGGUAGACAAGAAUGUGGAUAUGAGUUAUGUUUAGGAAGCGUGUAUAUGUGAUUUGAAUUGUUUGGGGGUUGUGAAAUAGGAAGUGAUGGUAAGGGAUGACUUGUGAAGAUGGGAUGGGAUUUAAUAGUUGUGUUACCCUCAAUUUGUGGUUUGAGAGGAGAAUUCAAAGCAAGGGGUAGAUUAGAUAAGUUACGGGCUUGUGACAAUUUCCUUUGUAGUUGAAGGAUUCUUUGCUCUAUUUGUAAGAUCAUCUCAUUAUGCUCAUUUCUAGCAUCGUUGUUAUCACCCAUUUCAUUGUUUUGGUGACUAAGCUUUAAGAGAAGGAGACUGAGCCUUGAUGGGCGAGAUAAUGCACGAAUCAAUCCUUUGGGCGUGAAAGAAAAAAUAAAUAAAAUUAAAAUUAAAAAGAAGAAAGAAAAAAAAGUUAAGUUAGUAAGAUAUGUAGUGAAAAAAUAAACAUGUUAAUAUGCCAGAAUAAAAUGUUUUAUAAUGUACGGAGCCUUAUUAAGUCCGAAGUAGGUCGAGAAUGACAAAUAUAUAUGACUUACGAUAUUAUAAUCCAAGUCUGACGUAAAAGAAGUUUGGAAUUAGAAAUUCCUAACCACAUUUGCUCAAUCUUUGGUUCAGAUUACUUUAUCACGAUCACAAGAAGCAUAGCAUGAAUAUUUAUUGUUGGUAGGAUAAGGCGAGAAUAAAGAAAUAAAUUUCAAAUAGUGUUUCUCCUUGGGCGAGAAGAAAAAUGAUGAAAUUUUUUUGCAUGUUUGUCAUAACGCAGAUUUUCAAAUGAAUCGAUGUUUGAAAAAUAGCAAUUUGAACAAAACAGGAGCGAGUGUACCUAGUAAGAGAAGAGAUAGUAUGAUAAUAUGAGUCAUUUUGUCAAAGAGGACUUUAGGACGAAUGGGUGGGUUGGGAUUUAAGCUUUAGAAGUGAAUUGAUGUUAAAAGACAAAAGAUAAAUGAUAAACAAGACUUAGGUACUGUGCAUACUUGGAGUUGAUGGGGUGAACAAGUAAAUAAUGAUAAGAUAUUAAAAGAUGCACGUAGAAUGUUGAAGGCAUUUUAUUUUGAAAAGAGGGGAAGAUUGAAGAUUUAAAAAUUUUGACGUAUUUUGUUUGAAAUAUUUUGAGAAUUUGAAAGAUUGUAAAAGGUCGUUGGAAUAAAAAGCUUCUAAUUCUCACCCUUAUGACAUUAUGGAAUGGUGGUGAAAGAUAUAGAGAAUAUGAUUUGAUAGAAAAAACUACUGGACUGAUCACAUUUUCAAAAAUUAGGACGUUUUGUAAAAUGGAGGGAAAAGAAAGACCGUAUCCUUAUAAAGGAUUGCCUACAUAUCUUGUUGGAACAAGAAUCAGGUCAGACGUAAAUCAAAAUUUUGAGAGUUAUAUAAGUUGAAUAACAAGUGAGGAUGUUGGAGGAUUUUGAAUAGGCCCUAAGAGUGUAUUGUAGGGUCCUAACAUUGUACGAACUUUAAGAGUAAAGAGCUCUAAAGUGAGGCACACUAAAUGUAAGGAGUGACUAAGGCAAUAACGGAAACAACAAGAUAAGUAGGAUGUCAAUACAUACAUAGAAAUGCAGAACAUAACAAAUAAUUUUGAGUCCCUUUGAGGUCGUGAACCUCUUUGAACUUUGAAUGAGACUAACAUUCAAUGCGUCAAGGAUGCCAAGGCAUCCUACGUUGAAUGGGACGCAUAUUCCUUAAUAAAAGAAAUAUGUAGCUAAAACCUAAAGGGCAAGAGUGGGUUAAUGACAUAGUUCCCUCGAGUGGACAACUCGAGAGUGGGAAAACUUGUGGUUGUCAACGCACGGCUGAUUGACCGAUCCAUAAGGCAUUUCUCGAAGGGUGUUUUAGGAAAGAACGUCCGUGCAACCACGCAAUUGUUCGUACAAAAAAAAUAAAGGAGAUCCCAAGUGGAGGAAAGUAUGAGCGGGAUACCAAUUAUAUAAAGCAGUAAGAAUAGCACAUAGAAACAUAUAAUAACAUGCUUUAGUAAUAAAAAAAAUAAACAUUAAAACACAUAUCCAAUAAAAGAAAAGUAGACAUGGAGAAAUAUUAAUAACACAAAAAGGAAAAAGGAGAAAGGACUAAUAAAUCAUGAUGUAAGUAAACGAUAAAAGAAGAACAUAUAAAAAAUAAAUUAAGAUGUCAAACAUCAUCAAAACAAAAGGAGAGAAUCCUACAUGAAGCACAAAUUUGUAAUGGUUAGAACUUAAAAUCCCCAGCAGAGUCGCCAUUCUGUCGCGCCCCAUUUUCCUUGCAAAAAGCGAGAUUCGACGUGACCACUCUUUUUGGAAUUAUUUCGAGAGGAGAGUGAAGAGUCGCCACCUAACUAAUUAAGGUGUGUUAGGGCACCAGUCUAAGCCAACUACAAACCUUUUUUAUUGUUUUGUCUUAGCUCACAAGAAAUUUGGUUAAGAGUUCAAAUUACAUCAAAAGAAAGUGUUAGGCACCUUUUGAGGUCCACGAAGGUAGUUUCCGACCGAAUUCAUAUUUUACGUGGGUAUUCUACGUGCUCAAAUAAGGUCGCUUAUUUCAUUAUUAAUUGAUGCUAACUAAGUGAUAAAAUAGUAAAUAAGUAAACAUGUUAUUUAAUUAUUUUUAAUUAAUAAUUAUCUAUGUGAUAAAAAUCAAUUAAACAUAGGAGAAGAAAGAAAUGACAUGAGUAUAUUAAAUUAAGAAACAUAAACUAUCCUAAAAAAAAUAUAGUAUUAAUUGAAUUAAUAAAGUAAACCAUUUUCAAUUUGAAUAAAGUUGUUUGAAGAAAAUGUUUGUCACUUUUAUAGAAAAGAUGUCACGAUAUUAUUAAUCACGCCCUUUUACCUUGGCAACAAUUUUGAUUGGAGAUCGGUCUUAAGUAAAAAUAAUAAUAAUAUAAUUUUUAAAAGACAAGUGAAAAUUUGAGUAUCAAAAUAUAACACAUAAAAAUAUUUAUAUAUGUAUAAAUAUACACAUAUUCAAAAAAAACAUUGGUUAGUGGUAUUCCCGAGGACGCGUCGGCUUGCUUUUAAAAUAUGAGAAUUAAAAAUCGUAAUUCUUUUUACUUUCCCGCCAACUAUAAGUUAGGAGAUAGUGUAUAUGUAAUUAAUAAUUUUUAAAAGACAUUGUCCAAUUCAAGUUGUAAAAAGCCAGAAAAAAAGAAUUAAACCAAAAUGUUAGCAAUUAAUGUUGUGUUUUAAAAAUGUUUGCAUAAACAAAGUAGGAAAAUUAGUUAAUAUGCUGAAAAUAUUAUUUGAAGACUGAAAAUUAACAUAUAAUUGUUGAGAAUGUGAUUUAAAAUGCGAAAAUGUCAUUUGUUAUAUGUCAAAGUUAUGCCAAAAGUAAAUAAAUUUGUUGUAACCUAAGUUGACAUAUUCAAACGUGAUUUAACGAGGCAAAAUUAAUUAAACUCCUAAAAGUAUGAUUUAUAAGAGAUUAAAAUAAAUCCUAAAUUAGGUUUGCCUAAGUGAUUUGCAUAAUACGUAAAGCACAUAAAUCCCUUCCCCCAAAACAGUCCCAUAAAUAUUAUUACAACAUAUCCUUUGUACAAUAAUCCUCACAGGCCAAUAUUAAAUGAAAUAAAAAAAAAAAAUACGAAGAGCUAGAUUGGAUAGCUCUUAACGACUACAUGCCAACUCUGUCUCGUCUAAAUACUUGUCCUUAACCUGUGAUAACAAAGAAAUAACCAAAACACAUUCCGAAUCUAGAAUACCUUUAGUGACACAUAACCAACCUUUGAUGCUGUCGAGAUCCUGGGGAUCCCAGGCAGGCUCAUGCCAAAGAAGCUAUGUGACGUGUAAAUAAUAUUUCAGAGUCACGUACAACAAGCAUGCUAAUGGAAAAGAACAUUUAGAAAAAGAAAAUAUGUCACAACUAAUAUGAAUACCCAAUAAGAGUCACGGAAAUACAAAAAAAAAAUAGGAGGUUCAUGUCGUCAAGCAUUUAAAGUAUGCAAAUCCAAGCAAAAAUCAAAACCACAUAGUAUAAAAGGAACUAAUGCAUCGUUGAAGAAAACUAACCGCUUUACAGCACAAUUACAAAAGAAGAUUGAACUUUCAAGAGUAGAUAAGAAGUCGUACGAGCAAACAAGAAUUAGCGAUCUCAAAGUAGAAGCAGCAAGCAAAAUUUAGCACUAAGUGUAGUGUAGAAUAGGGUAGAAGUCAGAGUACGAGUGUAAGAUAAGAGGUCUGACAAUUGAAAGAGAGGAUAUUUAUAUAGCAAAGGAGUAGAGAAAAUAAAAAGACAGAGAAUAUUUGCAAAUUCAAUCAAAUCAAUUAAAGAAAAAUAAACAGCUCCUAUUUACCUAAAUAAACAAGUCAGAAUAUUAUUUGAUCUUCAAGAGGCCAUCACUAGGUUUAGUGUAGAAGUGUAAGAUAAGAGGUCUGACAAUUGAAAGAGAGGAUAUUUAUAUAGCAAAAGUGUAGAGAAAAUAAAAGGAAAGAGAGUAUUUGCAAAUUCAAUCAAAUCAAUUAAAAAAACAUAAACAACUCCUAUUUACCUUAAUAAACAAGUCAGAAUAUUAUUUGAUCUUCAAGAGGCCAUAAAAAUAGGGAUACCAAUGGAUACUUCCCAUGUUAAGAAACGUAAUCACAUCAAAUUAGCACAGAAUAGAUCCAAUUAUAAUUGGGGGUAAACAUCUAUUUGUAUCAAAACUCCACAUGCUUAGCAAGCAAAAAUCACAAUACACCCAAAGAACUACUAUACUGUUGUAAUUGCGCUAGUAAUCCAAUUAACCGGUUCAAAUUUUCGGAGUCAAAAUUAUGACAGUAGACAAUGAAAUUGCAUUCCUAAAAUGAAAUCUAGGAUUAAUGAAAAAUUCAAAAUUUGUCAUUUUACAUAAAACAAACGUGAAACCAGAAAAACAGACCAACAAUAAAACCAUAAAUUUUAAGUUUAAAGAAAAGAGUAGCAGAAGAGAAUUAUAAUUGCAUGUAAAAAAUUAAAUACGAAAUCCAACCUAGGAUGGGUUCCUAAGAACCCAUCAUUUUUUCGAUGAGUUGUGGUGGCAGUGUCAUGGGAUGCACAGAGAGACAGCAAUGGUGGCUACAAUGAGAACGAAGGUUGGUUCAUGGGUAGCCGCUGGUUUGCAUGGCUGGUUUGAGGUGCCACGGCGACGGCUGGAGCUACGGAGCUCGGUUUUGAUGUCUUUUGAUACGAGCAGCGGCAAUGGUGAGAUCCGGCUAUCAUUAACAGUUCUUUACUGGUCAUCACCUACGAUGAAGCAGCAAUGAUGGGAGGCGACGCUGAUCGGAGGUGCAGUGGGACGUUCGGCUCACUGGUAAGCUGCCGUUAUUUAUUUCAGCGAUGGAGAUGUACCGGAUCUGGGCGACGAUGGCGCUGGGCCUUCACCAGUGGCGGCUAGUGUUAUUGCCUGUUCAACAAUGCUUAACCGUCAGAGAGAAUAAUAGAGGAGAGGGGGUUCGAGCUGUGGGCGGUCACCGGUGGCGGCUGGUGAGUUCUAGAGAGAAGGAGGAGCGAUAGAGAGAGAAAGUGGAGGUGGUGUUCGGUUAAUUUGGUGGAAUGAAUCUAGGGUUAGGGUUUUGAUUUUUUAAAAGAAAAGAAAGAGAUCCUUUGAUCUCAUUGGAUCAGUUUUGAUCGACAACUAGAUUUAGAGGUUGAGGAAUUG